rnacentral:tRNA from 1 species
GCCACCUUAGCUCAGCUGGCAGAGCGGCACUUUUGUAAAGUGAAGGUCCCCGGUUCGAAUCCGGGAGGUGGCU